rnacentral:tRNA from 1 species
AGACGACUAGUCUAACCAAGACCGCUAGUUUCGACCUAGUAAAUCUCAGACAUACUGAGGUCGCCCA